GUCUACUGAAUACACAUUACACUUUUCAGGAUAGCCUAGAUGGCAAGUGGAUUGCAGAGCUGGGACAUAUGUGGUUGACUUGGAAGAAAGGACUUGUGCAUAUGGGAGGUGGGAAUUGAUAGGGAUUCCUUGUAGUCUUGUUGUUGCUGUUAUAAAGGAGUGUAGAAAUAAACAUGUGGACCAUGUGGACAACUUCUAUAGAGUUGAUACAUAUUUGAUGUGCUAUGAUCACAUUAUAAAUCCGAUUAAUAGAAAAAAUUUGUGGUCCCAAUUGGACGAUUUUUCCAUUACCUUCAUGGUCUAUUCCACAACAGGGAAGAAAGUAAUAGAAAAGAAAGAAGCAAGUGGAGGAAGAUGUGAUAAAACACUCAAAAGGAAAAUCUAUUAUUAAAGGAAAAGGAAGGGUUUCAAUGACAUGCUCACUAUGUGGACUAUACAAUUGCAAUAAAAGAUAUCAUGCAUGCCAAAUGCACCUUUCCCAGUGAGUACUUAUUUGAAUGCUAUUUAAAUGUUGUUUUUAAUCUAAUAAGUGACUAAAUAAAUCUAAUCUUUGGAGGCAGUAGAGUCUAGAAAGUCACUUGAUAUGGACAGCAUAAGUGACUAAAUAAAUCUAAUCUUUGGAGGCAGUAGAGUCUAGAAAGUCACUUGAUAUGGACAGCAUGAGACAUGUUAAGUGCUUCCAUUCUCAAUUUAUUGUAUUUGCGUAUAAAUCUAAUUGUUUAGGAUAUCGUAUUUCCAUUAACUUUAGAGAUGGUGAUCUUUCUUCUAGCCGAGCACAAUGAUAACAACAAACUAUCCAUUUCAUGCCUACUCCUGGGAUCAUGAUGCAAUCCGACACUAGAUGUAUAAAUCAUGGGCCAUCAAUUUCAAUGCCUAUAGCUGAG
rnacentral:lncRNA from 1 species